rnacentral:rRNA from 1 species
AACGAACGCUGGCGGCAUGCCUAACACAUGCAAGUCGAACGAUCCCUUCGGGGAUAGUGGCGCACGGGUGCGUAACGCGUGGGAAUCUGCCCUUGGCUUCGGAAUAACAGUUAGAAAUGACUGCUAAUACCGGAUGAUGUCUUCGGACCAAAGAUUUAUCGGCCAGGGAUGAGCCCGCGUAGGAUUAGGUAGUUGGUGAGGUAAAGGCUCCCCAAGCCGACGAUCCUUAGCUGGUCUGAGAGGAUGAUCAGCCACACUGGGACUGAGACACGGCCCAGACUCCUACGGGAGGCAGCAGUGGGGAAUAUUGGACAAUGGGCGCAAGCCUGAUCCAGCAAUGCCGCGUGAGUGAUGAAGGCCUUCGAGUCGUAAAGCUCUUUUACCCGGGAUGAUAAUGACAGUACCGGGAGAAUAAGCUCCGGCUAACUCCGUGCCAGCCGCCGCCGUAAAAC